GUCGCUUUAGCUCACUUGGGAGAGCGCCAGACUGAAGCUGCACUUCGGUUAUCAAAUCUGGAGGUACUGUGUUCGAUCCACAGAAGCGACA